GGCCUUGAAAUACCACCCUUUAAUGUUUGAUGUUCUAACGUGGACCCGUGAUCCGGGUUGCGGACAGUGUCUGGUGGGUAGUUUGACUGGGGCGGUCUCCUCCUAAAGAGUAACGGAGGAGCACGAAGGUUGGCUAAUCCUGGUCGGACAUCAGGAGGUUAGUGCAAUGGCAUAAGCCAGCUUGACUGCGAGCGUGACGGCGCGAGCAGGUGCGAAAGCAGGUCAUAGUGAUCCGGUGGUUCUGAAUGGAAGGGCCAUCGCUCAACGGAUAAAAGGUACUCCGGGGAUAACAGGCUGAUACCGCCCAAGAGUUCAUAUCGACGGCGGUGUUUGGCACCUCGAUGUCGGCUCAUCACAUCCUGGGGCUGAAGUAGGUCCCAAGGGUAUGGCUGUUCGCCAUUUAAAGUGGUACGCGAGCUGGGUUUAGAACGUCGUGAGACAGUUCGGUCCCUAUCUGCCGUGGGCGCUGGAGAACUGAGGGGGGCUGCUCCUAGUACGAGAGGACCGGAGUGGACGCAUCACUGGUGUUCGGGUUGUCAUGCCAAUGGCACUGCCCGGUAGCUAAAUGCGGAAGAGAUAAGUGCUGAAAGCAUCUAAGCACGAAACUUGCCCCGAGAUGAGUUCUCCCUGAGACUUUAGGUCUCCUGAAGGAACGUUGAAGACGACGACGUUGAUAGGCCGGGUGUGUAAGCGCAGCGAUGCGUUGAGCUAACCGGUACUAAUGAACCGUGAGGCUUAACCUUACA
rnacentral:rRNA from 1 species